rnacentral:rRNA from 1 species
AUGUACAUGCCUACAAAAUAGUGUUAAUGCACCGGAUCUCAUUAGAACUCCGCAAUUAAGCGUGUUCUGGCUAGAGUAGUACUGGGAUGGGUGACUGCCCAAGAAGUCUUAGUGUUUUACAUG